rnacentral:misc_RNA from 1 species
AUAUAUCAACCUCCUCAGGUUUUUACUUGUUGAGUGUUUGGAUGUGGGGGUCUUUGUGCUGGUCUCUUUUGAGGUUGGCUCCCCUAAAAUGCAUUAGCAGAACAAUUUGUUGACCUGUUCAUUGGCGUGAUAAACUAUCUACACUUUUGAUAAGAGAAACAGGUUCAGCUUCUAACAGGUCCAUUAACUUGGACAAUUUUUCAUUA